rnacentral:tRNA from 1 species
UAUAGGUUUUUGUAGUUGAAUAA